AUGUUUGACGGAGUUGAGCGGAUGCUUCGGGGAGUCAGGCAUGUGCCAGGGCUAAGGAGGAAUCUAAUUUCGCUUGGUGUUCUUCAUAAUGAUGGUAUGGUAUUCCGUUGUGAUCGGGAUAAGAAGACCAUGAGAAUCAUAGAAGAUGAGGUGACCGUGAUGAUUGGAGAGAAGACGGCUUCGCAUCUUUACAAGUUACAAGGAAGCACUAUUGCAGGUGGAGUCACGGAGACUGGAGUUGCGGGAGUAGCAGCGGGGUCUCACGGUGGCGGCGGGUCUGGGGCAGACUCGUCGAGUAGCUCUCGGUAA
rnacentral:rRNA from 1 species